AUACGGAGGGUCCAAGCGUUAUCCGGAAUCAUUGGGUUUAAAGGGUCCGCAGGCGGUCAAUUAAGUCAGAGGUGAAAGCCCAUCGCUCAACGAUGGAACUGCCUUUGACACUGGUUGACUUGAGUUAUACGGAAGUAGAUAGAAUAAGUAGUGUAGCGGUGAAAUGCAUAGAUAUUACUUAGAAUACCGAUUGCGAAGGCAGUCUACUACGUAUAUACUGACGCUGAGGGACGAAAGCGUGGGGAGCGAACAGGAUUAGAAACCCUAGUAGUCC
rnacentral:rRNA from 1 species